AUUGAACGCUGGCGGCAGGCCUAACACAUGCAAGUCGAACGAGUGGCGGACGGGUGAGUAAUGUCUGGGAAACCGCCCGAUGGAGGGGGAUAACUACUGGAAACGGUAGCUAAUACCGCAUACCAUCGGAUGUGCCCAGAUGGGAUUGGCUAGUGGGCGGGGUAAAGGCUCACCUAGGCGACGAGCCCUAGCUGGUAUGAGAGGAUGACCAGCAACACUGGAACUGGGACACGGUCAGGACUCCUACGGGAGGAGGCAGUGGGGAAUAUUGGAAAAUGGGGGCAAGCCUGAUGAAGCAAUGCCGCGUGUAUGAGGAGGGCCUUCGGGUUGUAAAGUACUUUCAGCGGGGAGGCGUUACCCGCAGAAGAAGCACCGGCUAACUCCGUGCCAGCAGCCGCGGUAAUAC
rnacentral:rRNA from 1 species